rnacentral:rRNA from 1 species
GGUAGGUCGGGUGCAGCGGCCGCGGGAAGCCGUGGGUGGCAAGGGUUGUCCGGGUUCAAUGGGCGUAAAGCGCGAGCAGGCGGUGUUGUGCGUCUGGGGUGAAAACCCGGGGCUCAACCGUGGGACUGCCUUGGAUACGGGAAGACUUGAGGAUCGGAGAGGGAAGGGGAAUUCCACGUGUAGCGGUGAAAUGCGUAGAGAUGUGGAGGAACACCUGUGGCGAAGGCGCCUUGCUGGCCGAUUUCUGACGCUGAGGCGCGAAAGCGUGGGGAGCAAACAGGAUUAGAUACCCUAGUAGUC